rnacentral:rRNA from 1 species
UACGGGAGGGUGCAAGCGUUAUCCGGAUUCACUGGGUUUAAAGGGUGCGUAGGCGGGCAGGUAAGUCAGUGGUGAAAUCUCCGAGCUUAACUCGGAAACUGCCGUUGAUACUACUUGUCUUGAAUAUUGUGGAGGUAAGCGGAAUAUGUCAUGUAGCGGUGAAAUGCUUAGAUAUGACAUAGAACACCUAUUGCGAAGGCAGCUUACUACGCAUAUAUUGACGCUGAGGCACGAAAGCGUGGGGAUCAAACAGG